rnacentral:rRNA from 1 species
UACAGACGGGGCAAGCGUUAUUCGGAAUUAUUAGGCGUAAGGGCGCGUAGGCGGCCGAGCAAGUCUUGGGUGAAAUCCCUCGGCUCAACCGAGGAACUGCCUUGGAAACUGCUUGGCUCGAGGCCGGGAGAGGAUGGUGGAAUUCCCAGUGUAGCGGUGAAAUGCGUAGAUAUUGGGAGGAACACCAGUGGCGAAGGCGGCCAUCUGGACCGGUCCUGACGCUGAGGGGCGAAAGCGUGGGGAGCAAAGAGG